AUUGAACGCUGGCGGCAUGCUUUACACAUGCAAGUCGAACGGCAGCGCGGGCUUCGGCCUGGCGGCGAGUGGCGAACGGGUGAGUAAUGCAUCGGAACGUGCCCAGUAGUGGGGGAUAGCCCGGCGAAAGCCGGAUUAAUACCGCAUACGACCUGAGGGUGAAAGCGGGGGACCGAAAGGCCUCGCGCUAUUGGAGCGGCCGAUGUCGGAUUAGCUAGUUGGUGGGGUAAAGGCUUACCAAGGCGACGAUCCGUAGCUGGUCUGAGAGGACGACCAGCCACACUGGGACUGAGACACGGCCCAGACGCCGACGGGAGGCAGCAGUGGGGAAUUUUGGACAAUGGGGGCAACCCUGAUCCAGCCAUGCCGCGUGCGGGAAGAAGGCCUUCGGGUUGUAAACCGCUUUUGUUCGGGAAGAAAUCCUCUGGGCUAAUACCCCGGGGGGAUGACGGUACCGGAAGAAUAAGCACCGGCUAACUACGU
rnacentral:rRNA from 1 species